GACGAACGCUGGCGGCGUGCUUAACACAUGCAAGUCGAACGGAAAGGCCCUGCUUUUGUGGGGUGCUCGAGUGGCGAACGGGUGAGUUACACGUGAGUAACCUGCCCUUUACUUUGGGAUAACUUCAGGAAACUGUGGCUAAUACCGGAUAGGAGCUCCUGCUGCAUGGUGGGGGUUGGAAAGUUUCGGCGGUUGGGGAUGGACUCGCGGCUUAUCAGCUUGUUGGUGGGGUAGUGGCUUACCAAGGCUUUGACGGGUAGCCGGCCUGGGAGGGGGACCGGGCACAAGGGGACUGAGAGACGGCGCAGACGGGUACGGGAGGCAGUGGGGGGGAAUAUGGCACAGUGGGCGGGAGCGUGAUACGACAACGCCGCGUGCGGGAUGAGGGCCUGCGGGUUGUGAACCGCUUUCGCCUGAGACGAAGCGUGAGUGACGGUAAUGGGUAAAGAAGCACCGGCUAACUACGUG
rnacentral:rRNA from 1 species